rnacentral:rRNA from 1 species
CCUACGGGAGGCAGCAGUGAGGAAUAUUGGUCAAUGGACGCAAGUCUGAACCAGCCAAGUAGCGUGCAGGAUGACGGCCCUCCGGGUUGUAAACUGCUUUUAGUUGGGAAUAAAAUGGGGCUCGUGAGCCCCGUAUUGUAUGUACCAUCAGAAAGAGGACCGGCUAAUUCCGUGCCAGCAGCCGCGGUAAUACGGAAGGUCCGGGUGUUAUCCGGAUUUAUUGGGUUUAAAGGGAGCGUAGGCCGGCUUUUAAGUCAGCUGUGAAAGUCCGCGGCUCAACCGUGGAAUUGCAGUUGAUACUGGAGGCCUUGAGUGCACACAGGGAUGCCGGAAUUCAUGGUGUAGCGGUGAAAUGCUUAGAUAUCAUGAAGAACUCCGAUCGCGAAGGCAGGUGUCCGGGGUGCAACUGACAUUGAUGCUCGAAAGUGUGGGUAUCGAACAGGAUUAGAUACCCUAGUAGUC